GUCUCUCAGCUUUCUGGCUGAGGUUAAGUGUAGUAUUUGUUAUUAUCAGUUUGAUAUCUGAUAAGGGGCUCUACUGGACGAACUGGGUAACUUGAUGAUUAACGGAGGUAGUAACUUAAUUUAAGUUAGGAUAGCAAUGCUUAACGGUUUAGUUUUUUUAACUUGAUCCAAUUCAUUUUUUGUUGGGAUAAGUUACCUAAU